rnacentral:rRNA from 1 species
GACGUAGGGGGCGAGCGUUGUCCGGAUUCAUUGGGUUUAAAGGGUGCGUAGGCGGGCAGGUAAGUCAGUGGUGAAAUCUUUGGGCUUAACCCGAAAACUGCCAUUGAUACUAUCUGUCUUGAAUAUUGUGGAGGUUUGCGGAAUAUGUCAUGUAGCGGUGAAAUGCUUAGAUAUGACAUAGAACACCUAUUGCGAAGGCAGCAAACUACGCAUAUAUUGACGCUGAGGCACGAAAGCGUGGGGAUCAAACAGG